rnacentral:rRNA from 1 species
UGUAAGCGUAUACCAAAGUUGUUGCAGUUAAAACGCUCGUAGUCGGAAUUUGGCAGUUCCGGAUGUGUGCACGUCGUGUGCGCACUUCGCGGGGAUUGCUUUUGUGGUCUUGCGUAGGAUGAGGCACUUUUAUUAGUGAACGUCCUCACGCGACCACUUUUUACUGUGAGAAAAUCAGAGUGCUCAAAGCAGGCAUUUGCCGUGAAUGUAUUAGCAUGGAAUAAUAGAAUAGGACUUGGUUCUAUUUUGUUGGUUUGUUGGGACUGAGUAAUGAUUAAGAGGGACAGUUGGGGGCAUUUGUAUUUCGGUGCUAGAGGUGGAAUUCUUAGAUUACCGAAAGACAAACUGCCGCGAAAGCGUCUGCCAAGGAUGUUUUCAUUGA